rnacentral:ncRNA from 1 species
GUUCUUCCUAACAUUGUAAUGCAGAAUUCGCCAAGCGAUGGAUUGUUCACCCACUAUUAGGGAAUGUGAGC